UCUGCAAGUCACUAAGUUGCCUCGGCUGAGGCUGAAUUUGCCAUCUUCCUGCUUAAGCCACCACUGUACAAGCUUUCUGUGGAAAAGGCCAGACAAAGCAAGGUUGCCGUGCAGGCUGUAGUUUUCAGUACAGUGAUGAUCUGAGGUAUUGCAUGCUGCAGUCACAACAGCAGGAGAAAACCGAUGUUUUGGGAAGACGCGUUCUGUUUACUCUCCGACUUCACGUGGCCCCUGGCCCAUCCCCACAUAGCUUUUGGUGGACAAGUGUCCCAGUGUGGCAAGAGGGAGCUCCCUGGGUUCCGAGGACAGGCUGCAGGCUCGAGGUCUCCCAAGGAGCAGAAGAGAGGGAAGAUCUGAUGUCAGGAGGCCGGCACAGCAAUGCCUUCUCCUCUUCACCUCCUGCGUUAUUUCAGGGAGACAGGGCGGGUUUGCCCAUUUGACAGGUGGGAAAAACGGGGGCACAGAGAGGCUCAGUGCCGCAGCUCCUGGCCCUGCCUGUGAGUGGCAGAGUUCAGACCUCUGGCCCUAAGCGUCCCCUCCCUUCUGUCCUGCCAUUGCCUGUAUCACAGCUGAUGUGAGCAGCGUCACUUGCCAAGACGACCCUGCUUCUUCACCCUUUCCCGUGCCAGGCCCUUGCCCACGUGACCGCACCGUGCCCCACCCGUGCAGGGGAGGGGGAGAGGAGGGGAGGGCGGUGCGUGCGCUCCCGUCCGGUCGGGAGGUGGUUCGGCACCUGACGUGGAGACAGGGUGUGGCAACGCCGAUGUGACGAGAUCCCGGGCAGCGCCAGAUAAUUCCACGGACCCCGUGGGCGGACCGUCUCACUGCUCCUUCAGGAUGUGGACGGUGUGAAGCAGAUGAGACACGAGAGGCCCCCACUAUCCUGACUCUUCACGGUACCCACUCUGUCUCCCAGACCAGGGCGCACUUUUAUUUUUGCUUUCACCCUUUCCGCUCUCUGUUGGGCCCAAGUGUGCUCUGCAGAGCCAGUUCUUCCCUCGUCCCUUCACCCCUCACUGUUCGAAUAAACUUUUG